GAUGAAGAACGUAGCGAACUGCGAUAAGUAAUGCGAAUUGCAGAAUUCAGUGAAUCAUCGAGUCUUUGAACGCACAUUGCGCCCCCUGGCAUUCCGGGGGGCAUGCCUGUCCGAGCGUCAUUACUGCCCAUCAAGCGCGGCUUGUGUGUUGGGUCCUCGUCCCUCCCGGGGGACGGGCCCGAAAGGCAGCGGCGGUACCGUCCGGUCCUCGAGCGUAUGGGGCUUUGUCACCCGCUCGAUUAGGGCCCGGUCGGCGCCAGCCGUCAACCCCCAAUUUUUUUUUAUUCCGGUUGACCUCGGAUCAGGUAGGGAUACCCGCUGAACUUAAGCAUAUCAAUAAGCGGAGGA
rnacentral:misc_RNA from 1 species